rnacentral:rRNA from 4 species
CAUCCCGAACUCAGAAGUGAAACGAAACAGCGUCGAUGGUAGUGUGGGGUCUCCCCAUGUGAGAGUAGAACAUCGCCAGGC